rnacentral:lncRNA from 1 species
ACAUGCCAGGCAGUCUUGCACUUGCUUUAUAUGCAUAAUUUACACUUAACUUUGUCCUUCUUGGCUCACAGUGAAUGGUAUUGAAACUUACUCAUGUCACAAAGACCCAAAGGCUCCCCCUCCCUACCAUCCCUAUCUCUUCCGUCUUCUUCCCACCAGAGGGCAAGUUGGAGGUUAAUUGUAAGCUUUCUAAUUUUGUUAGACCUUUAACAUUCAUGAUCUGAGCCACUGCAGAGACAACACCAGAAUCUUAACCCACUGUAUCACAGUGGGAACUUCUGCCAUUUUCUUUUAAAAAUUUUUUAAUUUAAUUUUUUUAUAGAAAUAGAAUUGAUUUACAAUGUUGUGUUAGUUUCAGGUGUACAGCAGAGUGAUUCAGUUAUACAAUACAUACACAUAUACCCAUUCUUUUUCAGAUUGUUUUCCCUAAUAGGUUAUUAUAGAAUAUUGAGUAGAGUUCCCUGUGCAUGGAGUAGGUUCUUGUUGAUCAACUGUUUUAUAAAUAGUAGUGUGUAUAUGUUAAUCUCAGACUCCUAAUUUAUCCUUCCCCCCACCUUUUGGUAACCAUACGUUUGUUUUUGAAGUAUGUAAGUCUGCUUCUGUUUUAUAAAUGGGUUCAUUUGUACCUUUUUUUUUUAGAUUCCACAUAUAAGUGCAAUAGUAUGAUACUUGUCUGUUUCACCUCACAUAGUAUGAUAAUCUCUAGGUCCAACCAUGUUGCUGCAAAUGGCAUUAUUUCAUGCUUUUUUGUGGCUAAUAUUCCAUUAUAUAUAAUAAAUACACAUACACACAUAUAAUGUACACAUAUAAUAUGUAUAUAUACACACAUAUUAUACACACACACACACACACACACACCCCACAUCUUCUUUAUCCAUUCCUCUGUACUGCUGCAUUUAAUUGCUUCCAUUUCUUGGCUAUCGUAAAUACAUUGCCGUGAAUAUUGGAGGGGGUGCACAUAUCUCUCCAAAUUAUGGUUUUCUCUGGAUAUAUGCCCAGGAGUGGAACUGCUGGAUCAUAUGGUAGUUCUAUUUUCAGAUUUUUAAGGCAACUCCAUACUGUUCCCCAAAAUAGUUGUACAAAUUGACAUUCCCACCAAUAGUGUGGGAAAGUUCCCUUUUCUCCACAUACUCUCCAGCAUUUAUUGUUUGUAGACUUUUUGGCAAUGGCCAUUCCGACUGGUGCAUCUGAUUUUUUCUUAUUUUCUAAGGGCCCUACUAUAGUACAUGGAGGUCUCGAAAAAUGUUUACUGGUAAAAUAUGGAUACCAAAAAAAUGACUAAUGUUUCCAGUGUUAAGAGCUUACUUUAAAAUCCAGAGAAGUUAAAAAAAAAUCCAGAUCUGGAAUAUCAGUUUAUUGAUAGGGGUGGGGGUGGUUGGGUGAGAACAGCUUAAAAAAUUAAAACUAAAGCAACUAAAUGAAGAUAACUUCAGCUGUUCUAACAAACCCAUAAUAACAAUGUCAUACUAUAAAACCAACAUAAAAUGCCAGUAAAAAUUUGAUAUUUUGAGGAUGUUAAGGGUAACGAUUCAGAGCACAUUAAGAAGGGCAAUUGCACAAUCCUCAUUACCAUCAAUGAAACUCAUAUGGUAAAAUUCACACCUCCUUCAGUGAAAGUAUGACCUCAACUGUCAUCGGAUAUGUUACAUUUUGUGGUGUGUGAUUUUCUUCUCUAAUUUGAGGCAAUUUAAUUUUCUUCCCACUUCAUGAAGAAAUGUCAGGCUGAAAGACUAGAGCAUUGAUGUUGAACAUCUUUCUUCACACAUUAUAUUUACAGUAAAAUUGAUUCUGUUAUCCAAGAUAAUACCAAAUAAAAAGCAAAAAAACUGCAGUAUUCUUUAAUAUAUACUCGCAUUUGAAAAUCAGAAUUUGUACACAAAUUACAAUCAUACUUAGAGAACAUAUUAGUAGAAAGUUAAAAUUUUAAAAACAAAUUUUAGGAAACAAAUAAGAAAAUCCAUUAUUGAAGAGCAAUAAUAUUAUGUUAUUUGUCUUAAUCUAAAAUUUAAGGAUGGAAUAUAUAUUGGAAAAGAAUGAAAACUUGGAUUCUGUGUUCAUUUUAAAUUUUAUAAAUCAAAUACAGAAUAAUGGUUAAAAGGACAGUCUCUGGAAAUAGAUCAUUUACAGACUGGCUCCACUAGUUACCAGCUCUGUCAUCUUAAUUGAGUUAUAUAGCACUGCUGAGCCUCAGUUUUUUAAUUGAUUAAUUGAAAGUGCAAGAAUUCCUAUCUCAUGAGAUUGUAAGAUUAAAAUGAAUUAAUACAUUUUCAGCACUUGUAAGAGUGCUUGGCUCAUGGUGAUGUCCAAUAAAAAUUAAUUAUCAAUAUUAUUAUAAAUAUGAUUGAUUAUUAAUAAUUAUCUUAUCAUAAAUAUAAUUGAUUAAUUAAAUAUGAUAGAUUUAUAGAUACUAUUAUAAAUUGGAAGACAUUUAAGAUAAACAAAAUCUUAUAUUUGCUUUGUUAUUAAGGUCACUCAAAAUAUAUUUGCUAUGAUUCUUCUCUUUCAUUGUGUAUUACCAAAAAGGAUAUCAAUGUAUCAUGUAUGUUAUAGAAUUAUUUUACAGGGCUCUUAAUUUCUAAAUAUCAAUGAUUAAGCAAGAAAGGGACUCAUUGAUAUACACACAAUUUUUUAUUUACCCCCCCUUAAUCUAACACAGGCAUUCUAUCUAAUUGCUUGAGUAUAGGGACCUUUUCUUAUUGAAUUUUCCCUUUUUAAUACCUAACUCUGGCCUCAACACAUAGUAGGUACUCAGUAAAUAUUAAUUUAAUCAGAUCUUUUUCAGAACGGAUAUUCCAUUUUAUUUCUGCACUUCUGCAUUUAGCCAAUACACCCAGCCAUCCUUAAGCAUGCCUUUGACUUUUGUCUUUCCCAGCAAAGGAACAGUUUGAGCUCCAUCACCUCCUGAUUUCUGUACACUGUUUCUAGUCUACCCUAAUCUACCUCAACUCCCUCACAGCCAGAUUCAGUGCAGUCAGAUUUAGCUCCUCAUUUAUUUGGUUUCAUGUUGAAUUUGUCUCUUUGACUAGAGCAUAUGUAAUAUCAGGACAUAAAGAAAUUUAAAGUUUUAGUGCAGUUAAAUAAUGCAGUGUUUUACCAUAUAAAGUGGAAGCAAUUUUUUAAGUAAUACCUAUCUUUAAUUGAGGUAGACACUAUUUUAUCCCCAUUUAUAUAGAUGAGGAAACUGAAACUCCAAGAGGUUAAGUAAUUAUUCAAGAUCACAUAGGUGAGAAAUGAACGAGCCAGGAUUCAAAGCUAAGAAGGUUGGCCCCCACAGCCCCCGUUGUCACUACCAUACCAAACUGCUGGCAGACCCCAUAAGUGCCAUCUCCUUUUUUCUGAGAGCCCUUCUGUGUGGUAGUCACUUUCUUGGUCUCCCGGAAGGCAAGAAUGGAUUAUAUAACCUAGUUCUGGCCAACAGGAUUAGAAGAAAUGCCUUCUGGGUCUUUAAUUUUCUACACUGGCAAAAAAUAAAAAUAAAAAGAUGUGUUAAAAGAGGCCCAGUUUUUUCCCUAAUUUUAGAUAUUGAUGUGUGAGGAUGCAGUGCUUAGAGCUUCUGUAGCCAUCUUGCAACUGAAAAGAAGGUCAAGAGAAUGACAGAAUCACUCAGCAGCUGUAUGUAUUUAGGCUUGUGUACCAGCCCUUUACCUCCUGUCUUACAAAUGUCUUGUACUGUGAGACUAAUAUAUAUGUAUAUAUUUUUUCUUACUUAAGCUACUUUUUGUUGGAUAUAGUUACCUGCCGUUCAAAACCUCCUAAAAGAUUAAAGUAUACUUCUCUGUGAUUCCUUCCACUUUUAGAUCUUGUCAUAAAAUAUAUAUUUACUUCUUUUAAUUAGCAAGAUUAGUAUUCCUUUUCUGAAUAUUUAUGAGCAUCUUAAGUUCGUUCAGGUUUUUAAGAUUGUAUUUGUAAGACUUUUUGCCCUAUAUAUACCAAUUCUUUUCAUUCUUGGCCAGACAUGAAGUAAAUAACAAUAAUUUUAUUUUUUCCGGUUUCAGUUUAACUAGUUAUUUGAUUAAAUCACCACCUAGAAUCAUGAAUUACUAGUUUUAACAAAUGUUCUAAAUUACAUUGGCAAAUUUGACAAAGCCUUGAUUUUUAAAAUAUGGAUUCAUUUGAAUUAUUUGUCUUUUUCAUAUCAUAUAAUAAUCACUGGUAGGAAAGUUAAAGUGUAGCUCAGUUUCAUCCCCUUCUUUCUAUUUAAACUGAACUGAAAUUAAACUUGUAUUAUGGAGUUCCCCUUGUGGCGCAGCAGAAACGAAUCCGACUAGGAACCAUGAGGUUGCGGGUUUGAUCCCUGGCCUUGCUCAGUGGGUUGAGGAUCCAGUGUUGCCGUGAGCUGUGGUGUAGGCCAGCAGCUACAUCUGAUUAGACCUCUAGCCUGGAAACCUCCAUAUGCCGUGGGUGCGGCCCUCAAAAGACAAAAAAUAAAAACAAACAAAUAAAUAAACUUGUAUUAGUAUGUUAGCAUCUGUUACGUCUGUUAUGUCUGCCACAUGGACUUCACCAGCCCCCUCUCACCCAAACAAAUAAUCAUACAUGAAGAACUAUAAGUCCUUCCUUCACAGGUAAAAAAUUUGGUUUUCAAACAACACCAUACCUGUCACACUGCUCUACUGGCCUUUCCCUGAUCAGAUUGAAAAUAAGAAUUAAUCACUAAUUAAGAUUUUAGAUUCUCUCUAAGAUAAUGUAGUCCCAGUUUGCUUUAGUUUUUUUGCUCGUUUUUAUAAAACAUUGGUUCGUUAACAGCUAAACAUUUUUCAUACUUGAAAAAUGGAUCUUCAUUUAAAGCUAAGAGUUAAAUUUCACUGUGAUAAGCUAGGAUGUGAAGACUUAGAUUUAUUAGCAUUAAUAAAAGCAAAUGCAUAAUUUUUCAAUUGUUAAAAUAAGAAAACCAUCCCUUAGGGACAAUUUCAACUGAAGAAAG